rnacentral:ncRNA from 1 species
UGAUAGCUGUGAAGCGUGAGGUUGCUUGCAAUUGCGUAAGUACAUGCCUUUGCAAGGUUUUCCGUGGAGCGAAUGUCAGUGAAUCCGACGACAA